rnacentral:rRNA from 1 species
GAUGAACGCUAGCGAUAGGCUUAACACAUGCAAGUCGAGGGGCAGCAUGGUCUUAGCUUGCUAAGACUGAUGGCGACCGGCGCACGGGUGCGUAACGCGUAUGCAACUUGCCUCACAGAGGGGGAUAACCCGUCGAAAGACGGACUAAUACCGCGUACACUCCAUCUUGGGCAUCCAAGGUAGAGGAAAUGAAAUUCGCUGUGAGAUAGGCAUGCGUCCCAUUAGCUAGUUGGUGAGGUAACGGCUCACCAAGGCGACGAUGGGUAGGGGAACUGAGAGGUUGAACCCCCACACUGGGACUGAGACACGGACCAGACUACUACGGGAGGCAGCAGUGAGGAAUAUUGGUCAAUGGGCGAGAGCCUGAACCAGCCAAGUCGCGUGAAGGAUGACUGUCUUAUGGAUUGUAAACUUCUUUUAGACGGGAAUAACAAGAGUCACGUGUGACUCCCUGCAUGUACCGUAUGAAUAAGCAGCGGCUAACUCCGUG